UACGAGUGCCCAAGCGUUAUCCGGAAUCAUUGGGCGUAAAGGGUGUGUAGGUGGUUUAGUUAGUCUUCUGUUAAAAUCUCGGGCUCAACCCGAGACUUGCAGUGGAAACGGCUAGACUAGAGAGUGCGAAGAGGUGAAUGGAACUCAUGGAGUAGGGGUGAAAUCCGUUGAUAUCAGGAAGAACACCCGUGGCGAAGGCGGUUCUCGUGGGACGGUACUGA
rnacentral:rRNA from 1 species